AUGGGGCUCUGGCAGACUUCACUUCCAGCCUUACCUCUUGCCAGUUCACCAACAAACGUCGAUUGGGAGAACAGAAUUAGAUGCAUGAGAUAUCAGAGACCUGUCACUCAACACAUCCACAACGACGUGAUUAAUAACAAUACAGGACAGCAGAAAUGUCCAGUAACAGCAACACCCUUUUCAUUCCAUGUGUCACUGAUGAACUCUGCCUCAACUCUGCCUAUUUCUACAGAUGGACUGGAGAUGCUUUUGCCAGAUGGCAGCCUCAGUUGUUUGAUGGGGAGACCAUCAUUGAAAACAUGUAGCCACAACAUGGAGACUUGUGAUGCCGUCCAGACUGACAGACGGGCUUGAUACCGUCUCUGAAUGGAGAUUUUAAAAAAUACUACAUAAAACUUUUACUUGUAUUGUCUUUUUGAUUAUUCCAUUGAAUAGAAUCAGUCAAUAUGGGGAGGGAGAAACCCUGUGUUUUCUGCACCAGGAUCAGGGAACUCCUGUUGUAUACUGAACGCCACACAGGAAGAUAUGACCACUCUGACAUGUUUGACAAGGUAGCCCCAUUACCACCAGACAACAUGUCAAUAGGCACAGUAUCUGCAUCAGCUGGGAAUCACAAUGAAAGAUGAACGGAACACAUUGUUCUAUCAGCAGAACACUACUUCUGUGGUAUUAUGUAAAGGCUGGUUUAUUAGCAGAACACUACUUCUGUGGUAUUAUGUAAAGGCUGGUUUAUUAGCAGAACACUACUUCUGUGGUAUUAUGUAAAGGCUGGUUUAUUAGCAGAACACUACUUCUGUGGUAUUAUGUAAAGGCUGGUUUAUUAGCAGAACACUACUUCUGUGGUAUUAUGUAAAGGCUGGUUUAUUCUACAUGGAUCUGUUACUACGUUUGAAAGUUAUCAAAACACUUAGUUUAGAAUAGCUACAUAAAUUCAACAAUUGCAUUCUUCUCAUAAUACUCUAUAGGUUACUGACCAAUUCAAAGGUCAGUAGGUCAAAGACCCUGGUCUCAAUGGGUUUUCCCUGAAUGAAUGAAUAAAUACAUCUGCCAGUAGCUAUAUCACUCAACCUAUAGGAGGUUUGUUUGUUGUGAUUGAGUGAGGUGAAACCGCUGCGGACAAGGUUCUGACAGAUGGUCGCAAGGACACACCCACAUCAAACCACACCCCUAAUCCCACUCACGUUUGGCUUCUGUCACGGCCGCCAGCAUUUCUUGAGGAGCCAGCCGAUAAAUGAGGCCUAAUCAGCGGGUGCAGUUCCCCUUUAAUGAUCUCUAGAGACCGCUAGAAGCAGGGCUACAGUGCAUUUUACCCAGGCUAAUGGCUAAUCUGCGUAGCGCUGCCCGCAGGCCUCUGUUGAGGAGUCUGCUACAGCCGUAAAGUGGACAGUUAGUUCCAUUAGUCUCUCUGUGAGGUGUACUGCGAGCCUCACCACACUAUCAGGGCUGGAGAUGCACGACAGCCAGGGUUGAGGGAUCAGAACGCCAGAUUUAAACGCCUGCGCGGCCCAGGAUAAUUGGAUCCCUCUCACCUCCCCAUCCUUCCAUUCCUCACAUUCAUCUGUCCAUCCACAUGCACCUGUCAGAGUGGAGAAAGGGGAGGAAUUUCUUCACACCUUCUCUCCCUGACAGUCGCCAGGGGAUGCCAGCAUAGCGUCCAUAUAGGGUAUUGAGGUGCACUCUGACAGUGAACUAUACCCCCCCCCCACACACACACACACACGGGGAGAGCUAGUGCUGGCUGCUGACAGGCAGGCGGUGUGGGUGAUGAAUUGCCGGCUUCAUCUCUCUAUAACACGGCUCUACAUAACCGGGCAAAUGUAUUCCAAUCUGCAUGGCGAUAGGCCACUACGCUCACAUUAGAGCUGUAGAGAGAAAAAAACACCGCCUUCCUGACAACCUACCAGAGAGGAGGAGGGAGGGGCUCUUAUUUCAAGUUUUCCUUUUUCCUCCACCCCUCAGUCCCUGUUAACCAACGGUUGUUUUUCCUCCACCCCUCAGUCCCUGUUAACCAACGGUUGUUUUUCCUUCAUCCCUCAGUCUCUGUUAACCAACGGUUGUUUUUCCUCCAUCCCUCAGUCCCUGUUAACCAACGGUUGUUUUUCCUUCAUCCCUCAGUCUCUGUUAACCAAAGGUUGUUUUUCCUCCAUCCCUCAGUCCCUGUUAACCAACGGUUGUUUUUCCUCCAUCCCUCAGUCUCUGUUAACCAAAGGUUGUUUUUCUCUAAGAGGAAAGAAAGGUUGUUCAAGGUGUGUUCUUUCUCCUUGUGGCCAUAUAGCUUUAUUUGUAUAUUAUCAGACAAACUUUGAUUUUGUUCUAGACUUGUCACCUGACUACAAAAAAUAGACUAAAGUAAGCCAUUUUGGCUGAA
rnacentral:lncRNA from 13 species